rnacentral:rRNA from 1 species
GACGAACGCUGGCGGCGUGCCUAAUACAUGCAAGUAGAACGCUGAAGAGAGGAGCUUGCUCUUCUUGGAUGAGUUGCGAACGGGUGAGUAACGCGUAGGUAACCUGCCUUGUAGCGGGGGAUAACUAUUGGAAACGAUAGCUAAUACCGCAUAACAAUGGAUGACACAUGUCAUUUAUUUGAAAGGGGCAAUUGCUCCACUACAAGAUGGACCUGCGUUGUAUUAGCUAGUAGGUGAGGUAACGGCUCACCUAGGCGACGAUACAUAGCCGACCUGAGAGGGUGAUCGGCCACACUGGGACUGAGACACGGCCCAGACUCCUACGGGAGGCAGCAGUAGGGAAUCUUCGGCAAUGGGGGCAACCCUGACCGAGCAACGCCGCGUGAGUGAAGAAGGUUUUCGGAUCGUAAAGCUCUGUUGUAAGUCAAGAACGAGUGUGAGAGUGGAAAAUUCACACUGUGACGGUAGCUUACCAGAAAGGGACGGCUAACUACGUGCCAGCAGCCGCGGUAAUACGUAGGUCCCGAGCGUUGUCCGGAUUUAUUGGGCGUAAAGCGAGCGCAGGCGGUUUGAUAAGUCUGAAGUUAAAGGCUGUGGCUCAACCAUAGUUCGCUUUGGAAACUGUCAAACUUGAGUGCAGAAGGGGAGAGUGGAAUUCCAUGUGUAGCGGUGAAAUGCGUAGAUAUAUGGAGGAACACCGGUGGCGAAAGCGGCUCUCUGGUCUGUAACUGACGCUGAGGCUCGAAAGCGUGGGGAGCGAACAGGAUUAGAUACCCUGGUAGUCCACGCCGUAAACGAUGAGUGCUAGGUGUUGGAUCCUUUCCGGGAUUCAGUGCCGCAGCUAACGCAUUAAGCACUCCGCCUGGGGAGUACGACCGCAAGGUUGAAACUCAAAGGAAUUGACGGGGGCCCGCACAAGCGGUGGAGCAUGUGGUUUAAUUCGAAGCAACGCGAAGAACCUUACCAGGUCUUGACAUCCCGAUGCUAUUUCUAGAGAUAGGAAGUUACUUCGGUACAUCGGUGACAGGUGGUGCAUGGUUGUCGUCAGCUCGUGUCGUGAGGUGUUGGGUUAAGUCCCGCAACGAGCGCAACCCCUAUUGUUAGUUGCCAUCAUUCAGUUGGGCACUCUAGCGAGACUGCCGGUAAUAAACCGGAGGAAGGUGGGGAUGACGUCAAAUCAUCAUGCCCCUUAUGACCUGGGCUACACACGUGCUACAAUGGUUGGUACAACGAGUUGCGAGUCGGUGACGGCAAGCUAAUCUCUUAAAGCCAAUCUCAGUUCGGAUUGUAGGCUGCAACUCGCCUACAUGAAGUCGGAAUCGCUAGUAAUCGCGGAUCAGCACGCCGCGGUGAAUACGUUCCCGGGCCU